rnacentral:rRNA from 1 species
AUUGAACGCUGGCGGCAUGCUUUACACAUGCAAGUCGAACGGCAGCGCGGGCUUCGGCCUGGCGGCGAGUGGCGAACGGGUGAGUAAUACAUCGGAACGUGCCCAGUAGUGGGGGAUAGCUCGGCGAAAGCCGGAUUAAUACCGCAUACGACCUGAGGGUGAAAGCGGGGGAUCUUCGGACCUCGCGCUAUUGGAGCGGCCGAUGGCAGAUUAGCUAGUUGGUGGGGUAAAGGCCUACCAAGGCGACGAUCUGUAGCUGGUCUGAGAGGACGACCAGCCACACUGGGACUGAGACACGGCCCAGACUCCUACGGGAGGCAGCAGUGGGGAAUUUUGGACAAUGGGCGAAAGCCUGAUCCAGCAAUGCCGCGUGUGUGAUGAAGGCCUUCGGGUUGUAAAGCACUUUUGGCGGGAACGAAAAGGACUGUGCCAAUACCACGGUUCGAUGACGGUACCCGCAGAAUAAGCACCGGCUAACUACGUU